GACGCCACGAAGGAGUUGUCCCGGACGGACGCCACGAAGGAAUUCUCCCCCGGCGGCCCCGCAGGCGAGAGCGCGGCUGACUGGUGCCUCUACCAGCUCAAUGGAGCAGCCGAGUUCGAGGUGUGUGAAGGUUUUUUUUGUUUCAAGGUUUAGAUGGAGACCCUGCUAAUGGCUGUCUAUGAAGAAAAUGAAAUUAUAUAUACCACAUAUGCUGUCAUGCCCAUGGCUUCCCUACAUUCCCAAAAUGUCCCUCCCUAGGCCUGUCUUCAGCUCAUCAAAAAGCUUCUUCCUAAGCCAAGUGGGCCUCCUGCCGAAACUCCUAGUCUUUACAUAGUGCCUUCUUCCUGCCUGAAUUCUCAAACAUCAAGAAGCUCUCCUGGGAACGCUUCGACCUUAUGCCUGUUCUCCUGGGAUUUUACCCUGCUGUUCUCUUUAAU